GGGGAUUUAGCUCAGCGGUAGAGCACUUGCCUAGCGAGCACAAGGCCCUGGGUUCGGUCCCAGCUCCG
rnacentral:tRNA from 1 species